rnacentral:sRNA from 1 species
GAGGGGGGAGGGCGGCUUCAGUUGCGACUGAAGCCAAGAGAAAGCUGAACACAGUCCAACUGCAGAAGUCGGUGGCGUGUAACUGUCCUCAGCUGGCCUGAGAUCCGCCCUAACUGCCCUAACGGCUGAUGUAGCUGCACAGUGGUGGUGAGCCUGAGGUAAGCCUCCAGCUAAGACCGUUUGCACUCAGACUCAUUUUCAUCUCCAGCUUGCUCUGUAAGUUGGGUGUACCUCAACAAUAUCGUGGCAAACUACAGAUGGGCCAAGCCGGGAGGAAAACCAAUGACUCUUAAACCCAGGGUGCCAUGGAGACCCUCUAUAGUCCAGGACAGCAUGCGGUUUGCAGCUUGCCUUAUUAUAGAUGCUCUGUGAAUUCUUCCUGGACAUCCGGUCCCUUCUCUCACGGGUCCUCAGAACUUCUGCCAGAUGAGGUUUCUGUCCUAAGUGGGGGAAAUCUGCCUCAGGUUAUCUGAGGGCAGAGGCCGUGUGGACUCAGGCCUCUGUGCAACCAAGCUCCUCUAGGAGAGCCCAUCCUCACCCUGGGCAGAAUGCUGGGCUUCAUUCAUAUUCAUCGUCACUUGGAGCUGCACCUUUUCUCCAGUCUGUGCAGGGAUGUGCAUCACCAUGGCAACGCUAGAGGUGAAAUCACUCAAGUGUUGGCAAGCAGGGUUUCUCUCUGGAGCUUGGAAAAAUGGAGAGCAGGCUUGUGGUGUCACAGAAAGGAAGAUGCCCUUAGAAGAACCCAAGCAUUCUCUAUUCCAUUUGGGGACUUUCCCUUUAAAUAAAAACUGAACAGUAAAUGGAAAGAGAAAUGUUUUUAGUCUCUGGAUCUGCUACCCCAGUGAGCCUACUUGGAACGGACACGCUGAUCCUUCUGGCUUUCCUAACCUGCUGUACCUUGUAGACUGUUCUGCCUGGAGUUACUAUUUUAAAGUAAUGAAGCUGGGGCCCACAAGUGUGAUGUUUGUGCCUGUUGGCCAAUUUCUGGCUCUUUGUCUAAUUUGGGGGACUAGAAGAUAUUUGCUAAAUAACUAUUUGACAGGCUACUGGUGGCUAAGGGCAAUGAGGACAUGCUCACACACCCAAGGGGUCUUGAGAUAAGCUGUUUCAGUACCUGCUCGAGGCAGCUUGCCCUGAGACUUCUGAGUACAUGCAGCAGCCCCUGGAAAUGAUUUUGACAGCAUUGCCUUUGGGCAGGAAUGAUGAGGAGGAGAAAGGAGCCCAUUCAACAUAAACUCAUCAAAUGCUUGACUCAAUGAUGAAGUCAGUGCCUUCUUCAUCCAAUGGUACCUCUGACUGGGGAUCAAGUCUUCAACAGGCCAGUCUCUUGAGGGAGGACUCUUCCCAUCCAAAUCCUAUCAGCCUCCAAGGAGUGAGCCCCCGGACUGAUAGAAUUGCUCUGGAAAACUGCCUGGCAUUCUCAAGGAGAGGCAGUCUCUUUCUGGGGAGGCAGCUCCAGGCAGCAUCCCCUCCUGGGCCAUAGCUAAGCGAGAAAAAUCUGAGCACUUUUCUCAUCAAGCUCAAAUCAACUGCGGGAAGCCUCAGAGGGGCCUUCUCUGUGCUUUCCUAGUCAUCUCCAUCUCGACAGUCCUACAGGUUCUGAACGUUAAUCAGUGUCAUCGCGAGUCUGCUGAUGUUACGGAGAACUUAAUUGGUUCUUUGGAGGAAAAUGAGUCACCAUCAGGAGAAUAAGCUGCAGGGCAGGAACACACAAGGGGAAAGGGAAAUGAAACUGUACGCGGAAAAGAUCAAGUGUGCCCUUAUGCUUCUCCUAGGCUGCAGUCCCAGAUGAGCCCACUUUUGCUGAUGGGGCUUAAAGAGGUUUUCAGAACCACGAAGACAAAAGGUAUUGCCUUCUCCUACCCCCAUCGCCUUUGUUUCCCUCUCUCCUUUUCUGCAUGUGCAGCCAUAUCCAGUGGAGGGGGAAGGGGACAGACCGUCCGCCUGACUGUCAGAGUUGAUCAUUGCUGACCUUAUCAAAACACAGAAUCAAUACUCUCUCCUCCCAGCAGUCCAGAAAAAAAUCAUAAGGAGUUUGAACUGAAGCAAUUUGAAGUGCAGAAUUGCAUGAAUCAGGAGACAAGGCAGUAAACUGUUGGGCCUCUGAAUCCUUCCAAGCCCUUCCUAAGAGUCAGGCAAGACCAAUAACAUCACUUGAAAUAACUGUUUCUGGGUGGAGAGGGAUCCAAAGAAGCUUUUGAUAACCAAGCCCACCUCCUGGAGAAAUGGUUUUUUAGGUUUGUGGUAGCAGGGUGCUUUUGAAAGAAGCCUGAAGGAGGGUGGGACUAGAGGCUGGGACCAUGGUCCUCACCUUCCUCAGGACCACUCAGUAGAACCUUUCCAGGCCUGGCCCUGGACAACUCUAUGGCCUUUUACAUUUGGAAUUCCAAGCUGGGUCACACCUCCUUCCCAUUUCUUUGUUCUUUUAAAAAAUAUUUUCUCCAGAUUUACUUUUUCUUUCCUUUUGAGU